AGCGAACGCUAGCGGCGGGCUUAACACAUGCAAGUCGAGCGCCUUACUUCGGUAAGGAGCGGCGGACGGGUGAGUAACACGUAGGUUACCUGCCCCCGGGUGAGGGACAACCGAGGGAAACCUCGGCUAAUACCACAUAUGGUCUACGGAUCAAAGGCUUCGGCCGCCUGGGGAUGGGCCUGCGUCCCAUUAUUUAAUCCUUGUUGGUGGGGUAACGGCCUACCAAGGGUACGAUGGGUAGCUGGUCUGAGAGGAUGAUCAGCCACACUGGAACUGAGACACGGUCCAGACUCCUACGGGAGGCAGCAGUGGGGAAUAUUGCGCAAUGGGCGAAAGCCUGACGCAGCCACGCCGCGUGAGUGAUGAAGGCCCCAGGGUCGUAAAGCUCUGUCGGGGGGAAGAAGUUCUGACGGUACCCCCAACGAAAGACACCGGCGUAACUACCGUCGCCACGCACGCCGCCGGUAAAGGUACGUACGAU
rnacentral:rRNA from 1 species